UCUCUCUUACUUUACUCUUUUCUCCUUUCUUCUCUACCAAACCCUAAACUUUACUCUUUUCUCCUUUCUUCUCUACCAAACCCUACGAAAGAAGGUUUUCUCUCAACAUUUCUUCCCUUUCUUCCUUUCUCAAUCUCAUCACUUUCUAAUCUCCCCUUGGCUUCCAGUCAAAACCUUCAUAUUCCCCACCUUCACCAUCGCCGCCGUGAAAUCCGCCUUCCAGAGGCUCCGACUACUCCGAUACUGUCUCACCGUCGCUGCCGUCAAUGGCUCCGACUACUCCGAUACUGUCUCAUCGUCAAUGGGUCAUCUUCCAUCUCCAUCACCGUUGCUGCCGAUACUGUCUCGCCGAUACUGUCUCACCGUCUCAUAAAACUGGACAUCAAGCACUAGUGUACGAGAGUUUAAAAGCUACAGAGUUUGAUGACGGGGGGAUUCUCUGCCAACAGAAAAACUCUCCAACGAAGAAGAUAAGACUUUAUUCCAAAACUCGUAGCUUCUUCAUUCACUCUCUCUCACACGCUCCAAUACAUCUUCUGCGUGCCUUACACGCUCCUUCCAAUACAAUUUUCAGUACAAUCACCAACCAAAUUGAUUCCAAAAACCAAAAAAUGUCGGCUUAAUUUUCUGGUUUCAGCUCAGCCCCCCCUUCCCCGGCCCCCUUCUUCUCUUCUUUCUUCUCUCUCAGCUUUCAAUCAGGUACGCCUUGACAAAACUUCCUAUUAAUUUUUUGAACUUUUCUUUUAUUUUUCAUGUCUUUCGUGUCGAUUUCUAUGUUUCUAUCCCUUCGUUUGAUUGUUUUGGAUAAUGGGUUGGCUUUAGGUUUCCCUUUCAAGAUCUGGGUUGUGGAUCAAUUUUGGGAAUUUCUAUAAAUUUUUCAUCUUUUGUGUGUGUUUGUGUGAAUGACUUGCUCUUGCUUUGAACUUCCUCCUUUUCUAUGUACCCUUUUGCUCAAAUAUUCUGGGAAUCUCUCAUUCUUUACUUUUUCUUCACUUUUCCCCAGUGUUCAUAUUCUAUCCUUUUAACCAUCUGCAUUGUUCUUACUAUAGAGACUUAGUUUUAUAAUGAAUAUAUAACGGUUUACAAUUGUAUAAAUUUAUCUUAUCCUAGAAGCAACACUUUUGGGAUAAGCCUGCUAGUGAUAAAUUAUAACUUUGGACCAUUAAUAUUUACAUUUAGAAGUAUAUUAAUGGAAUAAAAAAUGAAAAAGACGCAUACAAACUAAUUGGUUUAUUUGAAACUCUGUGGUCUGAAAUUUUAUUGGUGAGAAAUAUUGCAUUUCAAUAAUGGCAGUAGAAGAAUCUUUCCAUAAUGAUGGUGUGUAGGGGCAUGGGAACAGCAGCAAACUCAGUAGUUUCCCACUGUUAAAAAAAACAGGUAAUAUUUGAUAUCUCUGCAGUAGACAAAACAUAUAUGGCUUUCUGAUCUUUGCCUUCAGUUUUGUUUGCUUUAUGGCUCUAUCUCUAACACUUGUGAGAAAUAUUCCAAUUGCUCUUCAUUCUUUAUUUACAUAGUCUUUAUUUCAAUAAUACACAUUUGGAAGAUGGAUUUAGUAAUGAAAAAUAAUGGACUCUUCAUUCUGUUGUUUUGUGCCUUUUAUGAACCUUUGCAUGCAGUGCAAUCGUUCCAGUCUUCUAUUGCUGUUUUGUUUCCUUGAGAUUUUAUACAACACAGUUACAAUGCUUGUAUGAUAAAAGGAAUUUUGGAAAAGAUCUUCUUGCUGACUGGAGGAGAAGAAUCAAGGGAGAGGGCUUUCUGUUUUUCCGAGACAAAGCUAUUCGUAACGGUUUCAAGCUGGAGAGAUUUUAUGAAGGGUGGAAAGAAGGGUGGUCAGAUUACGUAGAAUGCGUGAAGUGAAUCAAGAAGUUGUCCAAAAACAAGGCUUUUGUUAAAUAAGAUUACGUAGAAUGUGUAUUUUGUUAAAUAAGAUUUCAUUUUGUGUAUGCAAAUGUAAAAGACAAAUAUUAAAGUUUCUAAAUAAUAUUAAUUUUAUUGA